GCCAGACUCCUACGGGAGGCAGCAGUGGGGAAUAUUGCACAAUGGGGGAAACCCUGAUGCAGCGACGCCGCGUGAGUGAAGAAGUAUUUCGGUAUGUAAAGCUCUAUCAGCAGGGAAGAAAAUGACGGUACCUGAUUAAGAAGCCCCGGCUAACUACGUGCCAGCAGCCGCGGUAAUACGUAGGGGGCAAGCGUUAUCCGGAUUUACUGGGUGUAAAGGGAGCGUAGACGGCAGCGCAAGUCUGGAGUGAAAGGCCGGGGCCCAACCCCGGGACUGCUCUGGAAACUAUUGAACUUGAGUGCAGGAGAGGUAAGCGGAAUUCCUAGUGUAGCGGUGAAAUGCGUAGAUAUUAGGAGGAACACCGGUGGCGAAGGCGGCUUACUGGACCGUAACUGACGUUGAGACUCGAAAGCGUGGGGAGCAAACAGGAUUAGAUACCCGAGUAA
rnacentral:rRNA from 1 species